AUUCAGCACCAUAGUUUCAUAAAUAGAGGACAAUGAGAUUAGAAAAAAAUUGUGAAGAGUUUUGGAUUUGGAAAAAAGUUGAAUUACAGGCGAUCUAGAAAGCAAAUCGAUCAAGCAAGUAAGUUGAUUAAAAAGAAGUAAUUUACAAGCAGUUUCCAAAUGGAAUUCAACAAAAGAAGUUCAGGCAAAAAUUUAGUAGUGAACACAAACCAGAACACAAGUUCGAAUUCCUACCAAGCAAUUAUCAGCCACAACAUCAGUCAAAUUCAAUUUCCAGGAGUUGAUACAGAGCAGUAAUCAAAGCAGAGAACACAAAUUCAAUCAACAGAAAAAUUGGUCUCGCAUAUUCUGAAAACCAAUCUCCAACCUAGAAAACCCAAGCCAAUUCCAGAAACAAAACCUAACGAUCAACCCAGAAAACCCGCCAUUCCCCAAGCAAUUUCCAAUUCAGUAGAAACAAUUCCCAAAAAACUCAAUACCCAGCACACCCAUAUACUAACCAUAAGAAAUCAGCCCAAAAUUUCAAAAUCUCCAAUCCAGAAAAAUCCAAGUAAAAAAAUCAGUCCACGCAUAUCAACAAUCACAAAAAACACAAGCAAUUGCACAUACAUAAAAAAUUCAACAACAAGAGUAAACGCCAUUCUAUUGACAGAAAAUCGAUUUUAAGGUUUGGGAUCAAUUGCAUGAAAUUAGGGCUAAGCUUGGGUGUGGGUAUUAGUUUGGCUUUGGUAUUGCGGUGUGAAUGAGGGACUAAGAAAGAAGAACUAGAAGGAUUUGGAAUCUUUCGGUGGUGUUGGCCAUGGCAGACUGAUGGUGCUCACAGGUGACGAAAGGCGAUGAACGACCUUGGUGACUGAUGGUGGUUGUGACAGCGGCUGGUUAUCGAGAUUUGGAUUGGUAUUUUCUGGUUCUGGGUUUUGACGAAGAACAAAAUUAGAGGAGCAUAGAUUGAUUCAAAAAGGGAUUGUUGAAAGUUAAGAGUGCUAUGAAGAAAAUAGGAGAAGAGAAGAGACGCAGGGGAUUAAAGGCUAUGGGUAAUAUGGAAUCUGAUUCUGAAUAGAAACCAGCCUUUCUGGAAGCCGUUUAGGUGUUUGUUUUUGAGUAAUGCAAUGAUGAUGAUGAUUAUGUUCAAUAGCUUGCAGUUGGGUCUUUUUUGUUGAGGAUGAGAGAAGGGUUUGAACUGUGUAAAUGAUGACCUUUUCAUCUAUGAGAUCAAUGAAAGAAUUAAAAUUAAACCAAAUUUUUAUCUGCUA